UGGGGAAUAUCANNAAAUGGACCAAAAGUCUGAUCCAGCAAUUCUGUGUGCACGAUGACGUUUUUCGGAAUGUAAAGUGCUUUCAGUUGGGAACAAAAAAAUGACGGUACCAACAGAAGAAGUGACGGAUAANUACGUGCCAGCAGCCGCGGUUAAUACGUAUGUCACAAGCGCUAUCCGGAUUUAUUGGGCGUAAAGCGCGUCUAGGUGGUUAUGUAAGUCUGAUGUGAAAAUGCAGGGCUCAACUCUGUAUUGCGUUGGAAACUGCAUGACUAGAGUACUGGAGAGGUAAGCGGAACUACAAGUGUACAGGUGAAAUUCGUAGAUAUUUGUAGGAAUGCCGAUGGGUAAGCCAGCUUACUGGACAGAUACUGACGCUAAAGCGCGAAAGCGUGGGUAGCAAACAGGAUUAGAUACCCUGGUAGUCCACGCCGUAAACGAUGAUUACUAGGUGUUGGGGGUCGAACCUCAGCGCCCAAGCUAACGCGAUAAGCAAUCCGCCUGGGGAGUACGGUCGCAAGAUUA
rnacentral:rRNA from 1 species